ACAACAUUCCCUUGAAAUAUGCGCUCUGUCUGCAAGAAAGUUAGAACUCGUGUUUUGCAGAUAUUCAUGCUCCCACCUAUAAAUGACAUUGACAAUGGUCUCUCACAUGCUGAAUCCUUGGGAUCCUCAUUACUUACAUUGGAAAGAGAAAAUGAAAGCUGCUGAGUUGAAUACACCAUGGGUUUCUUUACUGCAGGGUGGUCAUCCACCUUAUUCUUUUUGCAGCCAAGUUGAUGCCUGGAAGGUCAAUCCAACUUUAAGGAUGAAACAAAUGGCGUUGCAAAAAGUUUUAGGUUUUCGACAAAAAAAUUCAAGGCAAGGAUGAGUGAAUGGAACAAAUAC